rnacentral:tRNA from 1 species
CGGCCGGUAGUGUAAUCGGCAGCACACUUGACUCUGGAUCAAGGAAAUCCAGGUUCGAAUCCUAACCGGGCAG